rnacentral:rRNA from 1 species
AACGCUGAAAGCAUCUAAGUGUGAAGCCCACCUCAAGAUGAGAUUUCCCAUUUCUUUAAGAAAGUAAGAUCCCUGAGAGAUGAUCAGGUAGAUAGGUCAGGAGUGGAAGUACAGUGAUGUAUGGAGCGGACUGAUACUAAUCGAUCGAGGACUUAACCAAU